rnacentral:rRNA from 1 species
AAAGAGAAGCGACCACGCGAGUGUGAGCGAAUCUCAAAAAUAACGUCUCAGUUCGGAUUGUAGUCUGCAACUCGACUACAUGAAGCUGGGAUCGCUAGUAAUCGCGGAUCAGAAUGCCGCGGUGAAUACGUUCCCGGGUCUUGUACACACCGCCCGUCAAGCCAUGGGAGCCGGGGGCGCCUGAAGUCCGGGACCGCGAGGACCGGCCUAGGGCGAAACUGGUAACUGGGGCUAAGUCGUAACAAGGUAGC